GUUUCCAGUUUACAAUCGGCGCCUAGAUGAGUCGUGUCACCCCGCCCGUGGUCGGGUCAAUUUUCUCGCGAGACACGCGGAAGUGAUCAUCUUCUCUUUUUUUCUUUUUUCUGCUGUACGAAUUCUGUGACGGCGGAGCGGAAUCCGCCGAGCGUUUCUCUCGGAAUUCGCGAAUCGUGUAUAAGAAUCGCGAGAAGUUGGACGCGCGAUAAUUCAUCUUGUGUGAAACAGUCGACGGCGAAGCGUGACAGUGCGAUCGAGCGACGGAACGACUCCGACCGGAAGCGAAGGGAGACGACGAAUCGCGUUAGGAUGAAAACGAGGAAACUCAGGCGAAACAAUUUGUGUGGAUACCUGGAUAGUAGCGGGAAGCUCGGUGAAGGCUCUGUUGCGUAGAACUUAGGGUUACCAUGUGUCCUACUUCUAGUUGAGUCCCACAACUCCUGCAUACUGCAUACCUGUCAAGCGACUGCGUUUAAAUGUCCUUUGGAAAUAAACAAUCUAAUUUUGCAUAGAAAUGUGCGAAGGGUGACGAUAAAUUUAAAUUUAAAAAUAGAGCCUUUCACUCCGUCUCCUUUCUUCCGCGAUCACGUAUGCGUGUUUCCGUAUAUUAUCCUCUAAAAUAUGGAAACCCUAGUAAGACGUGAAGCCGCGUCGCGAUAACGUGUGUGUUCGCGAGUGCGAAACGAUACAUAAUUUUCAACGGAAAUGAGCCUUGCCAAUCCUACCGCGAUGUCGGCCGUCGACGACUUCGACGACGUCCCAUGGAAUGGCACCAACAAGACAGACUUCGAUUACGACAUCGAAGAGUCCUUCAAUACUUUCUAUUGGGACGAACUGGCACCUGUCUUGGUAAUCUACAGCUUGACCUUCUUCAUCGGAUUAAUCGGGAACGUUAUGAUCAUCGCAUCGACCCUUUGUCGGCUCAGGCCGCUGCCGGCGACACCGACGAACGUUUUCCUGGGCGGUCUGGCCACGGCUGAUCUUCUGUUAAUCAUGUUCUGCAUACCCGUAAAAAUAGCGAAAUUGUUUUCCUACACGUGGACCAUGGGUAUUUUUCUAUGCAAAGCGGUGCAUUACAUGCAGAGUGUGUCAGCCAUCUGUUCGGUCGUCACCCUCACUGCGAUGUCGAUCGAGAGGUAUUACGCGAUAGUGCAUCCAAUGAAAGCGCAAUACAUGUGCACCAUAAGCCAAGCUCGUAAGAUCGUGAUCAUAACCUGGAUCGUGGCAUUUCUGCUGGGAGUACCAAUAAUGUUUGCACAGACACACAAGAAGGUCGGGCUGAGACGGAUCGCAUAUUGGUGCGUGCGUAACUCCGAGACCGGAUUCCUGUUGCGAGCCCACGAGGUUUAUAUGCUCAUCGUGGUCCUCGUUAUACCGCUGAUCAUCAUGGGGUUCUGCUACACGAGCAUCUGCUGGGAGAUCUGGCGCGUUAUGAAGCGCCGGUAUCACAUGACGUCGCGACAUGCAUUAAAUCCAAACAGCGCAGAUACGGAAUCUAUUCCCAUGACACAGAGGCAGAGCGGAAACGAACGUAAAUCGCGGCGGAACGAGAAAGACGAAGAAUCAAAAACAAUGAAGCAGGUGGUGAAGAUGUUAGUGGCAGUCGUUGUGAUAUUCGCCAUUUGCUGGGCCCCGUUGCUCGUCGACAACGUGCUGACCGCUUACGGCUACCUGCCACGCAUCAAGGAUGGAAUGUACAAGCACUUUAACACCGCGUUCCAUCUGAUGGCCUAUUUUAACAGCUGUAUAAACCCGAUAAUUUACGGGUUUAUGUCAAAGCACUUCAGGGAAAACUUCCUGUCGGCUGCCUGCAGCGGUUGGUUGAUUUGCUGCUCCAGGAGAGGCUAUCGGGCAUCUGUAACGAGGAACCCAAGUCUCAGUCAGACUCGAACCACGACCGUAAGGUGGAUCCGAAACUCCUUCGGGGAGUCAAAGUCCCGAAACUCGAGCGAACCGCAUCCCGUAGACCACCCGUGACACGCUUACGGGGUUCGCAAGUCCCCGGUAAACGGACGUGUCCCCGACGAAGCGAGUGACCCCCUCGAAAAUCCAUGUGCAUGUGCGACGAAUGUCCGGCUAGAGUAGACGAGUGGAGCACGAUUUGAUCGAGAUGGACCUGAUUCUUCCUUCAUCCCCGGACCAGACCGUCGGGGGAGGUCUCCGUUGGAUAGGACACUUCCGAGUUUAUUCGCGUCACACGAUACGGGAGGUGAGACAUGCCAUGCUGCCACCGUCACGAUCCUUCGUUCGAUCCGCUCCUCGAAGCAGUCGCCUACGAACGGACAGUGGCCGUUUCGAGGAGCCGAUCGAGCGCAAAGUGACAGAACUUUGCGUGAAUUGACUGGCGGGCCGAAACUACCCGCUGGGCUGCCCAGAGUGUAAGUAAAGUUGUCGGUCCUCAUGAUCUACCCACCAUCCUCGCACCUUGUAACGACAGCGUUAUCGCUCACUCGUCCCGUGGGCGGGAUAAUUGGGACAUUCGGGUUGGAUUAUACGGGUUGAUUAAUUGGACACUCGCACAAUUGGAUGUUUAAUGUACGGUUAAAGCUCGCGUUAGGUGGGCGGAUAAAGGUCAAGCGAGUGGGCAACGCGGACUCCCACGGCGGCCACAUAUUGGGUCAUAAAUACACGCCGUAUAAGCUUGAAAUCGAUCGAUUUACAAAAUCCCGCCGAGAUAUCUCGUCGAGAUGGACGCGCCGAUGAAAUUACUCGACGCGGAAUCGUGAGUGACGGACCGGACGUUCGCUCGAAAAAUUUUUCCAGUGUCGAGAUGUCCCACCCCUACAAGCGCUAUGAUGUUAUUUAAUAUUAAUAAAAAGUGGUUAUAUGUUCGUUCUUGAUAAUAUACGAAUAUUAGAUGACCAGACUAUCACGUGAGAAGUAAAUAUUAUAUUUACUUCAAUAUUUUAAAUUAUUGGGAAUAUUAUAAUUUUUGUGUAAAUGCAAUAAUUAUGAAGUUUAUAAAUAUUUCAUAACAUUUACACAAUAAUUCACAUUGAUUUUUGAAAACAAUAUUCGUAGAAUGUUUUCAUAAUUUUCGUUUCGCGGAAAUAAUGUGCUACGAAUUUAUAUAAAGCCGACAUAUAACAUUAAUAUAACAUUAAAAAGUAUUAUAAUCUCGCAUUAUUGUUUGAAUUUUUAAUAAUAUUUGUAUAAUAUUCUAGGAACAUUGUAGCGCUUAUCAGGAUGUUAAAUCUUUAAAUAUGUGAAUCUCUUUAAUCCCGCGGAGAAUUGUUCGAGAAUUACGUAAAAAUAAUAUAAAAGAUAAAAAGGUACUCCCGCCGUCUUGUUCAACAGCGCUAGACAGCGAGAAUGUAUUUCCUUCUUAUUUUCUACCUAUAGUGUAGCGCAAGUUCUGUCCGAUCUCGAGAGUUUGCUCUCCUUCGUAUAGUGCUUACUACCUCUCAGCAAAAUUCGAGACUGGACAGUUUAGCCGCUACGGUCUGAUUCUCAUUCAGUAUUUGCGCCUAGAUGUCGUUUUCGUGUUGACCAAAGAAAAAAAAAAAAUGUAAAAUUCGAUGUUUGUCGGUAAAUGUUGCGUCGUGGAUGUACGGACCAAAGAGCGCCGAUUUUGUGGAAAAAUCAUUUCGACGAAUGCUCAGAGCAAAUGUUUCAAAGCUGUACAUAACAAGAAGAUACGUUAUAUCGCGCCGCAAAUAACACACAGUUGUCCUUUGGUUUUUGAAACAUUUGCGAAAUACAAUAUUUUGUGUCGGCGAAUAUUUCUCACGGCGAGUAAUUUUGCGGUAAGAGGAUGUAAUGAAACCACUGGAUAUUCAGAUGUCACACACAUAUAUUUGUAUAUACAUGUAAUUUUCUUGACGUCACAAAUAAUUAUACCCAAAUAGUUUUACGCCACGACCUUGGAAUUAAUUAAUCCUGGGAGGCCAUAUUUGAUUAUAAGUAACACAUCGUGUUUGAAGCUCUGUGCCACGUGCUGGAAACGUAAUCUCAUUAUAAUUGUAGCUAGAUUAAUUAGAUAUAUUAAUUAUACCCGGCAGAUGGUGGGCGCGAACUUUAGAUGAGUAAUCUCGGUUUGUUGCUCAGGAGGAUAUUGCAUUUUCUCUUUUUUCAUCCGCUCACGCUUUUCGAUCUAAUUAAAAUACUAAAUAUCAGAUUAUAAUUUUGUCUAUGAUCAUUAACAUAUUGUUAUCUACUAUUAUUAAGAAUAGAGGUAUUAUCUCUAUUAUUAGCGAUAAUAGUAUUAACCCUUAACCGCUCUAGUGAAAUAGGCUUUCAUUAAAGUCAAAUAGUACAUGGGGUAUUAUUAUAAUACUCCAUUAGAGCGGUUAAGGCUUAAUAGAUAAUGUAAUUAUGUCCAAUAUAUUACAAUAUAAUUAAUAAUAAUGUUAAUAAUAGAAUAAUAUAAUAUAACAAUACUGGCUAUUGUAAAAGACUUUAAUAUACAACUAAGCGGAAGGUCCGUCUGACGGCAAACGCAGACGGGCUUUCGAUAAGUAAGUUAUUUCGUUAAAAAGAAAAAAAACUGGGGAAACCAAGUCGCUAAUCAAUCCAUAGAUGAUACGUAAAUAAGUGAAUAAAUAUUGUUUAGACUUAACGAACGUAUUGUCACGUGAUUUUAAUGAUUCUGUGCUUGUCGACGAGAAUAUCGUCAAGUGUCGUAAGAAUAGCGUAGAAGUUUUGAGUUGAUGUGUGAAAAAAGAAGAGAUGUUAACGCGAGAGAGAUAUCAAACUACGCGCGACUAGUCCACGACACUUGUUAGUAUACAAUCGUAUUGUAUAAAAUUAGAAUCAUUUGCGCCAUUUGUGUAACGGCUUCUGUCACAGCUUGCAUCUGUGUGUUUGUAUGAAAGAAUGAGAAUCACGCAUAUUUAAAUAAAGUAUGUGUGAUUCUCAUCCUUUCCAUGCAAACACAGAGAAUCGCACAUACUUUAUUUAAAUAGGUGCCGGUAAGAGAGCUUUAAAAUAAUUACAUAUUAUAUGCAAAGGUACAAUUUUUGGGCAUUGAGAUUUUUUUCGACAUUUUUAUUCGAAGAAUUAAUUGUGAUAUCACUUAUAAUUUCUAUUGUAACGCCGUCUUCCUUUCGUUAAACGCAUGCAGCAAAGACAUAUUUUUUUAUCAAAUCGUUUAACAGACUGAAUUAACAAAGUAGAGAUAAUUUAAUUGUCGGAAUCAUCGAAGAACAACGGUAUUAAAUGGCAACUUCAUACUUUAGGCUUAUUAAGAUACCUGCUGUAUUGUAUUAGGAUUAUUAAGAUAAUUGAAGAUAAACUAGUCAUCAUAUCGUUAUUGUUUUGUAUCAAUGACAAUAACGAUAUGAUGACCAGUUUAUCUGUCAAUAAACAACAAUAAAGAUAUAUGUAAAG